GUUAAUAUUGUCGAAUCGCGUCGUAUAAUGUUGGGGAUAUGGCCCAAGAGUUUCUACCGAGCCACCGUAAAUGGCUUGACUACGAGGCAGUGAUAAAUGGUG
rnacentral:ncRNA from 2 species